rnacentral:rRNA from 1 species
UUGAGCCUACGGGACGCAGCAGUAGGGAAUCUUCCACAAUGGACGAAAGUCUGAUGAAGCAACGCCGCGUGAGUGAAGAAGUAUUUCGGUAUGUAAAGCUCUAUCAGCAGGGAAGAAAAUGACGGUACCUGAGUAAGAAGCUCCGGCUAAAUACGUGCCAGCAGCCGCGGAAAUACGUAUGGAGCAAGCGUUAUCCGGAUUUACUGGGUGUAAAGGGAGCGCAGGCGGUCUGGCAAGUCUGAUGUGAAAUACCGGGGCUCAAUCCC